GUUGCCUGGUGAAUAUUAAGUAUUCUUACCUUUCAGAAAUGAACUUACGAAUUCAACAGGUGAAGAUUUACAGUUUGAUUAAACAGCUUCAGGAGAGAUGAACUUAUGAAUUCAACAGGUGAAGAUUUACAACUUGAUAAAUCAGCUUUGUGAGGUAGGUCUUCAGUCUUUAGUCAGGUUAGAAGAUUAUGUGAAGUAACGUUUAACAUUAAUUUCUUUUAAUGGUAGCUUUCACAUGAAAUAAUAUGCCUCUAAGUAUUAAUUAU
rnacentral:lncRNA from 1 species